GAUGAACGCUGGCGGCGUGCCUAAUACAUGCAAGUCGAGCGAACAGACGAGGAGCUUGCUCCUCUGACGUUAGCGGCGGACGGGUGAGUAACACGUGGAUAACCUACCUAUAAGACUGGGAUAACUUCGGGAAACCGGAGCUAAUACCGGAUAAUAUAUUGAACCGCAUGGUUCAAUAGUGAAAGACGGUUUUGCUGUCACUUAUAGAUGGAUCCGCGCCGCAUUAGCUAGUUGGUAAGGUAACGGCUUACCAAGGCAACGAUGCGUAGCCGACCUGAGAGGGUGAUCGGCCACACUGGAACUGAGACACGGUCCAGACUCCUACGGGAGGCAGCAGUAGGGAAUCUUCCGCAAUGGGCGAAAGCCUGACGGAGCAACGCCGCGUGAGUAAUGAAGGUCUUCGGAUCGUAAAACUCUGUUAUUGGGGAAGAACAAAUGUGUAAGUAACUAUGCACGUCUUGACGGUACCUAAUCAGAAAGCCACGGCUAACUACGUG
rnacentral:rRNA from 1 species